GACGAACUGUCCUAACGUUGUUCGGAAUCACUGGGCUUAAAGGGCGCGUAGGCGGUCCAACAAGUCAGGGGUGAAAUCCUGCAGCUCAACUGCAGAAGUGCCUCUGAUACUGUCGGUCUUGAGGGAGAUAGGGGUGUGCGGAACUUCCAGUGGAGCGGUGAAAUGCGUUGAUAUUGGAAGGAACGCCGGAGGCGAAAGCGGCGCACUGGAUCUCUUCUGACGCUGAGGCGCGAAAGCUAGGGGGCG
rnacentral:rRNA from 1 species